rnacentral:rRNA from 1 species
AUGGCGCCGGUGGCCGAAGGAAAGGAGGGUACAGAGGAGAAGGGGCGCAAGAGGGGAGAGAUGGAAGGAAGGGAAGGGCCAGCGGUUGGCGGCGGCGGGGUGCACGCGCGUGGGAUCGAGUGGGGAUCGAGCAGGUGCUCACCCACUCGCGCUAGGGUUAGCCAGGAGAGGUGGGUUGCAGUUGGGCCGGUUCGGCCAGUUAGGCCUCACUGGGCCGGCUCACUGCGCGUUGCUGAACAAAUUCACAAUUUUCAAAAAAGGAAAAGGAAGAUAAAAGAGCAUGUGGCCACUCUGACAUAUAUCAAAGCUCCACAACUUGAAUUGGAGUAA